rnacentral:rRNA from 1 species
UACAGAGGUCUCGAGCGUUGUUCGGAUUCAUUGGGCGUAAAGGGUGCGUAGGUGGCGCUGUAAGUCAGGUGUGAAAUUUCGGAGCUUAACUCCGAAACUGCAUUUGAUACUGCGGUGCUUGAGGACUGGAGAGGAGACUGGAAUUUACGGUGUAGCAGUGAAAUGCGUAGAGAUCGUAAGGAAGACCAGUGGCGAAGGCGGGUCUCUGGACAGUUCCUGACACUGAGGCACGAAGGCCAGGGGAGUAAACGGG